GACGAACCGUGCGAACGUUGUUCGGAAUCACUGGGCUUAAAGGGCGCGGAGGCGGGCGAUCAAGUCAGGGGUGAAAUCCUCCAGCUUAACUGGGGAAGGGCCUACGAUACUGCCUGGCUCGAGGGAGGAAGGGGCGGUCGGAACUGUCGGUGGAGCGGUGAAAUGCGUUGAUAUCGACAGGAACGCCGGUGGCGAAAGCGGACCGCUGGCCCUCUUCUGACGCUGAGGCGCGAAAGCCAGGGGAGCGAACGGG
rnacentral:rRNA from 1 species